rnacentral:rRNA from 1 species
AUUGAACGCUGGCGGCAUGCCUUACACAUGCAAGUCGAGCGGCAGCGCGGGGGCAACCCUGGCGGCGAGCGGCGAACGGGUGAGCAUACAUCGGAACGUGUCCUGGAGUGGGGGAUAGCUCGGCGAAAGCCGGAUUAAUACCGCAUACGCUCUGAGGAGGAAAGCGGGGGACCUGUAACGGGCCUCGCGCUGCAGGAGUGGCCGAUGUCGGAUUAGCUAGUUGGCGGGGUAAGAGCCCACCAAGGCGACGAUCCGUAGCUGGUCUGAGAGGAUGAUCAGCCACACUGGAACUGAGACACGGUCCAGACUCCUACGGGAGGCAGCAGUGGGGAAUUUUGGACAAUGGGGGAAACCCUGAUCCAGCCAGGCCGCGUGCGGGAAGAAGGCCUUCGGGUUGUAAACCGCUUUCGGCCGGAACGAAAUCGGCAGGGUGAAUAAUCCUGCUGGAUGACGGUACCGGAAGAAGAAGCACCGGCUAACUACGUGCCAGCCACCGCCGUAAUAC